GAUGAACGCUGGCGAGAUGCUUUACACAUGCAAGUCGUACGAAAGUUUUUAACUUAAGUGGCGGACGGGUGAGUAACACGUAAGAAUUUACCUUUAGGAGGGGGAUAACAACUGGAAACGGUUGCUAAUACCCCAUAUGCUUUCGAGUGAAAUGGAUUUUUCCGCCUAGAGAGAAGCUUGCGGCUGAUUAGCUUGUUGGUGAGGUAAUGGCUCACCAAGGCGACGAUCAGUAUCUGGUUUGAGAGGACGAUCAGACACACUGGAACUGAGACACGGUCCAGACUCCUACGGGAGGCAGCAGUGGGGAAUUUUCCGCAAUGGGCGAAAGCCUGACGGAGCAAGACCGCGUGGGGGAGGAAGGUUUUUGGAUCGUAAACCCUUUUGUCAAGGAGAAGCUCUGACGGUACUUGACGAAAGCCUCGGCUAACUCCGUG
rnacentral:rRNA from 1 species